rfam:Clostridium tyrobutyricum DIVETGP, WGS project CBXI01000000 data, contig: NODE_36
GUCUUAUCAAGAGAGGCGGAGGGAAUGGCCCUAUGAUGCCCAGCAACCUGAAUGAAAUUUUAAUUCAAGGUGCCAAUUCCUACAGGAAUAUACCUGAAAGAUGAGAG